CUCUGCGCCCGCGGCGGGGCAGCGAGAUAGAGCCGGCUAGAGCGUCAGGCUUUCGCGUUGACGAUUGGCUGUGACGUCAUAAUUAAUUGCGAACCGUGUCUCGGGAGCGUUAGAGAUGGAGACUAACGUCUUCCAAGGGAGAUUGCGUCUCCACUUUCACCCUGGUACUGAGAGGUUGAGCACAAAAUUGGAACGCAGUCGCGGGGUAUAUCCCCCUGAAAACCAUUGGCCUGGGGUACAUCAUCUAAAGAUCCUAGGAUUGCUGCAGGUCAGCAGUCUCCACUGGAAAAAAAGAUCUUGCAUGUAUUUCAAGUCCUCUGAUGAAUCAUGUGAUCUACUAGACCCUGAAGAUACAGUGAAGAGCAAAAGAACACAGAUGAAAUGAGAAACAAAAACGAUGGAGAAAACCAAAAAAGGGGACACAUGGGAUCCAGGCAAUAGGAGAGCCAGCAUAAGAGAGAGCCAGAGGGAUGCCCAGGAUGAGGUGAAGACGAUCUUGGAAAUCAGCCCAGAUGUGCAUGCACCAGUCCACGUGUGGCAGGACCAAGGGAAGUGUCUUCACAAAGAUGAGGCUUUGAUUUGUUGGAGAAACUGUUACCAGAAAAACAGGUCCCGAUCCCGACCCCAAAAGAGUAUUCUUGGAUCUUGCACAGGAAGGAAUUAAAGGUGAGUCACAGAGUGCAGUGAGAAGGAGAUAGUUUAUUGAAAGUUACUCAGAUACAGAGUAGGUGUCCUCAGAAAGCAAAAGGAAGAAUGCACCAUCUUUGUUGUAAACUCUUCUAAUGUAGGGGUUUAAUCUACAUAAAAGCUAAGUUAAAUGUCUAUGUGUGGGUGCUCUGACAGCAUGACAAAAUUUAGGACCUAUUGAUUUAAAGAAAGUUAUCCUUGGCAUUUUAGUUAGUAUAUCAAAGCAUGACUAUAAUAAUCUUAAAAGCAUAUAUUAUAAUGUGACGUCAGGACAUGUGGACAUUCUGUUGUCUGUCAUAGGCGUUUGUUCUUGCAGGCAUUAUUAAGUUGUUUAAUCAGCUGUAAACCUCUUAUGACCAUGGGUUGUGACUGGCAAGGAAUAUGCCUUGCUAGUUGAAAGAUGGAGUUGACUUUAAAAUGGUGUCACCCUGGCUCUCCUAUGCUUCUGUUUCCCCAAAAAAGCCAGGUUACUUGUCCUGUAGAAUGAUCCACAUUCUGAGUUUGGCUAAUGACAUUCUCAUGGUAUUAACUUGUUUCUUUAUAUGUUGUUUUUUCUGUUACCCACAAAAUAAUUCUUCUGAUACACAUUUGUAAUCUUACCAUGCCAGCAUCUGCUACUCUUCAUGUUACCAAAUUUCUGUUCAAGGACCACUAAAGCCACAGUCAGUGGACAUUCUGAGACCUCUAGGGGAGGGUGGAGAUGCUGUCCUUUAAUAUAGUCUGACCCAAGCAACCUCCCCACUUGGCAUGGUGAAUCUAGACAAGCUAAAGAAUUUACUACGCCCCAGGCCUGCACCAGCCCUCUCCUAAGACCUUGGGCACUCUCAUUUCCCUUUUUUUUUUUUCUAAAGGAAGUCAUAGUUUCUCAUAACCUUUGCUAGUGAUCCUGGACCUUGGUUGUUCCCUGAGGCUGUGUUCUCCACACUGCUGCCAUCACUGCUACAGCAGAGGUGCAGAAAGCUCAGGAGAGAGAAGGGAGGAAAAGCUGAAGAUUUUGUGUUAUUCAUGCUUUCCUGACUCCGGCGAAAGUGCUUCCUCCACCUGCAACCAUUUCUGUUUCUAUACUGCUGAGUCUUGUGUUCCCAAGACCAAGGGAAGCCCAUUUUCUUUAAAGCCAGUCACAGUUUCUGUUGGCUGAUGGAAUAUCUGUUGUCCAGCAGUUGUAUUCCUGCUCACAAAUGCAAAACAGUUUGAUGCCACGCACAUUCCAGGGCUUAGACUGGAAAUGCUGUCCCUUGCCCCUUUGUUACCUUCUGACAGGGAUCAGUCCAUAGUGUAGUUGGUGUCACAACAGUCCCGAAGAAGCCUUCCAAUAGAUACCCAAAUGUGAUUCAAAGUGGCACAGGCACACACCACGGUGCCACAUGGUGCCUAUGUAAAGCAGGUAUAUCAGGAAUGCUAAGCAGAGAAGUAGCAGAACACACUGAUCCCCAUGUUCUCAUUGUACAGUUGGGUGCAAUUAAGCUGGCACAAUGGACUCUUCUCAUGGCUACUGUUCCAGUAGUGUGGAUGCCCCCAAAUGCUGCAUAUUUACUAGGACAGCCAGGCAGAGACAGCUGUGUACUAUGAUACAACAGUAGUCCCUCUUAGAGGAAGUGACCUUGUUAGAAGUGGGAGUUUCUGAAGCUCUUCAGCUGUUACUGGCCUGCUCUUCCAUAGCGUUACUUCAGACCUGCUGGCCCAGCUAUCCACUCCGCUAACAGGUCUGUCUCUGCUAACAGGUCUAGCUCUGUCUCCUCAGCACAUGUUCUAGGCUCUGACUGCAAGUGCUGACUUGGGCUCCCAGCCCCACACAGACCCUCUGUUCCAUGAAAGGGCCAUCUAUGCAAAGUGCCCCCCAAAUGCCAAAGGAGCCAAUAAACCAAGGAACAAGACAGACAAAUCUAGUUGUCAGUAAAGAGUGUUUUAUUGGGGAACUUACAGACAGAAGCGUGGUCUUGGAUGGCAGGAAGACAGGUAGGUUUCUGCACUUAUUACCCCCACACCCAGGGCUUAUAUACCACAGGGGAAGAGUAUACAUGCUCUGUGCAAGACAAAGGCUACUACUGUCCAGAACAGGUAAGAAUGCUAAUGUGUCAUAGCCUAGAAUUUGUAUAACAUCAAGGUUGACAUGUUCUUACAAUAGGGAUGGUAAAUAAAGUGGGAAUCAGGAGUCAGUCCUGGGACUGGGGCUAAUCAGAAGUCAGCAUAGAGAAUUAGCAUCCAAGAGGGAGUCACUUUUCUCUCCACAUCCCAGCCCUCUAAUCCAGCUCUUACAAUCUCAUGGACUCACAUUUCCCCCAUAGUCCCUGAGCCUUCAGAGAGGGCUGUGGGUGACAUUUUGAUGGUGUGAGUGACACAUUUUAUCAAUUUGUUUUCUACUUGUUAAGCAGGGGCCACAGCAACAACACAAACAACAGGCGAUGAUAUGUAUGCCAGGUGUAAGACACAGAAUUAAAAAUGCCCUUUACCAUGUUUAUUCAGGAACCAAACCAAGAGGUAUAGAGCAGAACAACAAUAGGAACAGAAGACUAUGGGUGGAAUUAAAAAUGUUUAGUAGGUAUUUGGUGGGGCAGUUCUUCCCCAUUAAACAGAAUUACUGGUAGCUCCAUCUCUGUUGAUUAGGAACAUAGGAUUGUGGGCUGGGAGUACACACCAAACAUGUUGCCUGAGGGGCAAAGGCGCUGGUAUUAUGUGUAAGGUUACAGGGGCAGCAAAGGACCAUGUCAAAUGGCCAGCCAGGGUGCUUCUUAAAAGGGACUGUGUUCCAGUUUAUUGGUAUGUGGAGUGUUUUGGCCCAGACUUCAGCAGGAUCAAUGGAGACCACUUUAGUUGGUAGGGAAUUCCUUGCUGUCUGGAAAGAAAUGCUCUAUCCAACAUAGGGGAAGUUGCUAGUCCAACCCCCAUUCAAGUGUCUCCUCCCUGGCUCAAGAUCUUGAGGAGUUCUAAAUAACCUUUGCCAUUGGCCUUUUAUCUGCUCAGGUCAGAGAUGCAUCUGGUUGGACUUUCUUUACUAUUAUGGUUAAUGGAUCCAUCUCUGUGGUGGUCCUGAGUCAUUGGUGUGGUGCCAGCACCAUAUUUGUCUCAACUAAAUUAAGGUUUCUAAUGGCUUGAGGCAAAAUCUUUGUCUAACUAUGAAAGAUAUUGGAUUUUGAGAGUGCUCAAAACUGUGCCUUCAAAAUACCAUUUUUCCUUUCAAUCAACCCUGUUGCUUGGGGGAGUAUACAGUAAGUGAAAUACCCAGUCUAUGUCCCUUUCAUGCAUCCAGUCUUGGACACCGUGUCUGGUGAAAUGCAUGCCUCGAUUGCUAUCAAUAUGUGGAGGGUAUCCUUACAUGACACUGAGUUGCUCCAAGCCCCUGAUGGUGGCUGUUUGGUUUGCUCUUACAAGGGAAAGCUUGCAACAAUCCCAUGGCAGUGUAUACACAUGUUAGUGCAUACUUUCGUCUCAAGAUUACUGGCAAGGGUCUGAUGUAGUCUAUCUACCAGUCUGUCACAGGGGUGGCUGUCUUAUGUAUAUGUCCAGGUGUAUGUGGGAUGUGGCAGAGGUACAGACGGGAACAAAUUAAGCAGUUUGCUACCGCCACCACUAAAUCUGCAUAGCAGAGAGCCAAUCCUGCUCCCUUUGCUAUUUGGCAGCCCAUUCAUGCACUGAAAUCCCCACUGUGAUAUGUACCUAAUCAACUAGCUCAGUAUUCUAAUUUUUGCUAGGAUGUCUGCCUCCAUGUUUCUGGGAGGUGAAUCUGACCAGUGUGCUGAAGCAAUUAGGUCCACAGUGGGUUCCUGUAGACUUUUCCAAAUGUCUUUCCACAUAUCAGCUCCCCAUAAGGAUUUUUAAAUUAUAUACCAAUCAUCUCAGGCCCUUUGGGCAAGCCAAAUUGUAAGACCCUUAAGUACUGCCAGACUGUCUGUACAGAGAACUAUAGGUGGUGGCUCACGGGUACAAACCAACCAUGUAGCUUGGAGUUCUGCCCAUUGACUGCUCUGUUGCAUUCCCAUCUCAAACCAGAUACUGUCUGUGGUUGUGCAGCUACUACUGUCCAUACACAGGGUUACCUUGGCUCAAUGCAUCUAAGUACCAAGCAUUAUCAGGAAUGAGGGCCAUGCCUUCAUGUACCAUUGGAGACAUCUCCUGUGAGGGCUCCACAAUAGGGGCAGCACUGGACUCAUAAUGUACUGGCCCUAAGAUAGCAUGCAGUUCAUCUCUUAAGGGAUGCAUGGAGAAGGCACUAUGUUGUUGCAUGUAUGCAUGGCACUUUUGUAAAGUGGAAACUUGGGCAAUAGCUGAUACAGGCCUGGCAAACACUCCUACCCAGUCCUUGAUAGGAAACCUGUUCUCCCUGGUACCAGGAAAGCAGCAGUUAUGGAUUCAACUUGUGGCAAGACCUUCUAUAUCCCCAGGACCUGUUAUUCAACUGGGAAAUAGCAGGUUUCAGUACCCUUCCAUUAAUUGUGACUAAAAUUCUAAAGGAACUGCUUCCCUAUGCUGGACUUUAUAUUUUCAUCAUCCAAAAUUAUAGUUUAGUUUUACCUUUAAAAAUAUGUUUUUUGUUCUCAUUUGUUCCAUAGGUUUCUCCUUGAAAUUUAUAUUGUAUGGUAAGGUUUCCUAUUGUUUGCAUUUUGUGGAUUGCACGCCAAGGUGUGGUUUAAUGUAUUUCUAUUACCUGUAUUUUCUGUAAAUUGGUAGUUUGGUAUAGAGGUUUGUGUACAUUCAGGGUUUUUUUUUUUCUGUAAGUAUUGAUGGUUCUGUAAAAGGAAAAUAAAAUCUUGGGGCCCCAAAAUUACUAAGCUAAAGGGAAAAGUCAAGCUGGGAACUGCUUAGGGUAAACCUGCCUCCCAUCUGUUCAGAGUCGCCCCUCUGCUCACUGAGAUAAACACAUGUCUGAUUCCCUCAUUUGGAAAGGCUAAUCGGAAACUCAAAAGAAUGCAACCAUUUGUCUCUCAUCUAUCUGUGACCUGGAAGCCCCCUCCUUGCUUCGAGUUGUCCCGCCUUUCCAGACGGAAUCAAUCUUUAGCUUACAUAUGUUGAUCACUGUCUCAUGUCCCCUUAAAAUGUAUAAAACCAAGUUGUGCUCUGACCACCAAAGUUGUGCUGAGAAGUGACACCAAAGAACAUGGUGGCAUAAGAACUCCAAGGACCCCUCCCCUCCACAGCGGCAAUGUGCUUGUUGAAACACCAGUAUAAAAAAACUCGAUGAGAGCUGUGAUUGGAUUUAGUGUUGAUAUAUUUUUUGUAAAUUGUGGUAAAACAUGCAUACUAUAUAAUUUACCUUCUAACCAUUUUUUCAGUGUACAAUUUGGUGGCAGUAAGCACAUUUACAAUGUUGUGUAACCACCGCCAAUAUCCAUUUCCAGAACAUUUUCAUCAUCCCAAACAGAAACUGUACCCAUUAAACCAUAACUGCCCAUUCUCCCUACCCCCAGCCCCUGGUAAUCUCUAUUCUAUUUUCUGUUUCUAUGAAUUUGCUUAUUCUAGCUACUUUAUAUAAGUAAAAUAUCAUAUUUGUUUUUAUUUCUGGCUUAUUUCACUUAUAGUGUUUUCAAGGCUCAUCCAAUUAGAAUUUCAUUCACUUUUAAGGCUGAAUAAUAUUCCAUGCUUAUGUGCACCGUGGGUUGUUUAUCCAGUCAUCCUCUGAUGGACACUCGGUUGCUUCCACCUUUUGGAUAUUGGGUAUAGUGCUGCUAUGGGCCUGAGUGUACACAUAUCUGGGUGAGUUCCUGCUUUCAGUGCUUUUGGGUAUGCCCAAAAGUGGAAUUGUUGGCUCAUAUAGUAAUUCUAUUUUUACUUUCUUGAGGAAUCACUAUUCUGUUUUCCAUGGUGGCUGCACCACUGUAUACUCUCACCAGCAGUGUACAAGUGUUCCAGUUUCUCCAUAUCUUCACCAACACUUGGCCUAGUGAAGUUUACCAUAUUUUUAUGUCCUUAUUGGCAUUCCUUUUUUUUUUUUUUUUGUGAAACAGAGUCUUGCUCUGUUGCCAGGCUGGAGUGCAGUGGCACAAUCUCGGCUCGCUGUAACCUCCACUUCCCAGGUUCAAGUGAUUCUCCUACCUCAGCCUCCUGAGUAGCUGGGACUACAGGUACCUGCCACCAUGCCCAACUAAUAUUUGUAUUUUUUUGGUACAGACGGGGUUUCACCAUGUUGGCCGGGAUGGUCUUGAUCUCUUGACCUCGUGAUCCGCCCACCUCGGCCUCCCAAAGUACUGGGAUUACAGGCAUGAGCCACCAUGCCUGACCAGCAUUCCUUAUUUUUAUGUCCUUAUUGUAUAUCUUCUUUGGAGAAUUGUCUAUUCAUGUCUUUUACUUAUUUUUGAAUGAGAUUGUUUUGCUAUUGUUGAAUUGUAGUUCUUUACAUAUUCUGGAUAUUAAUUCUUUAUCAGAUAUGUGAUUGGCAAAUAUUUCCUCCUGGUCUGUGCAUUUUCUUUUGAUUCUCUUAAUAGUGUCCUUUGAUGCAAAAAAGUUUUUAAAUUUUGAUGCAUUCUAAUUUGUCAUUUUUCUUAUAUUACUUGUACUAUUGGUCACCAGCCAAGAAACCACUACCAAUUCUAAUGUCCAUAAGAUUUUCCUCAGUAUUUUCUUGAGGGUUUUACAGGUUCAAUUCUUAAGAUUAGUUCUUUGAGUCAUUCUGACUUAAUUUUUGAAAAGGGUGUAAUGGAAGGACAUGAAUUUUUUCCAGCAUCAUUCUUUUGCAUGUUGAUAUCCAGGUUUCCAGCACCAUUUGUUGAUGCACCAUCUGUUGCAGUGGGGCUGACACAUUUGUAAGAUGCAGUGAGCAUUAAUACAUGGGAGCACCAUGCAUUUAUUUACCUGUCUUUACUUCACAGUUGUUUUGAGAAGGCUUUCACUGACAGACUCAACAGAAAUGAAUAUAUAUGACUUCUUAUAAAAUCAUAUUCAAGUAAAAUUAUAAAUUUUAAAAUGUUAAGACUGGAGCAAGACUGGAACAUCACUAGACAAGCUGAAACAUAGGCUGAAAUGAAGGGUUAUGUUUACCUUGCUACAAAUUCUGUUGGCCCACAAUCUCUUAUGCUUAUUGCUUAAGAGAGCCACAGAGUGGGGUGAUAGCUCACAUAACCAGUCCCUGGUUUUCUGCUUCAGAAAGAAGUUUAAAUAUUCUGCUUAGACAGAGUAAGGAAAUUAACUGAAAGAUGUCUAAUGUGAAGUUGGCAUCUACAAAGUGAAGGAGUGAGUAGUAAGUGUAAACAUCAGGAAUCCCAGGAGAUUCUAUCUUUUUGCACGGAAAUGGCCUCACUAUGCACUGCUGAAGGGAGAAGGUCCCUUCAGGGGACCUUCAUGAUGAAGAAGAACACAAUAUGAUAUAGGAAUUUUCUGCUGCAGCCCUAAACUGAAUUGUCCUUCUCUCUAACUACAGGUCUCACAAAGUUUUAUAGCUUCAAUGAUUUCACCUGGGCCAAGAUUUUGGUUUUUUUUGAUGUUAUUUGUUUGAACUGCUGCCUGGGGCUUAGAAAAGUGACUUGGAUAUUUUGUCAAAAUGGAUUUUCUUUGAUGGAAUGUGAAAUCCGUAAACACUCUGCUUUCCUGCUGUAUCCCCAGAGCAGGUUGAGUACCUUGCACUUCUUCUCAGCACUUCGCUAGAAGUGGUAGAAGAUUUGGAGUUAGGGCCUCCCUCAAUCCCUACCCUUUCUUUAAUUCAGAGGAUCACAAACUGUUGGGAGAAGAGUGGUAUCUUGGGCCUCUAGCUGAUCUGAUGAAUAUUAAUAUCCAAUGUCCUGUAGUGAAGUCAUGUGUGCGUGUAACAUCACUUCUUCACGCAGUGUCAUAGGAAAGUGGGUUCCUGGACCCCAGGUUAAGAGCCUAAGCACUAAAGGCACAGAGCUAGAGCUCUAGGAGGGGAGGGAUGGCUGGGGUGGAACCUCGUCUUGUCAUUUAGUCCUGGGGCCUUUUCACUCCUUACAUGGUGGGUGGUGGGCGUCUGGCAGGUGCCGAUGUUGAUGGAGUCAAGGGAGGGAACUAGCCGGGACAGGGAAAAACAGGGUUGGAGAGAUAAUUAAGGUGGACGUUAUUUUUUCUGAGCGUAAGUCGUGGCUGGAAAUCUGGAGAGCCUGAAAGAGUAUCCCCCUACCCAAACCUGUUUUUUCCUUUUCCCUCAAGCCUCAUUUGGCCACAGGCCCAGUGUCAACACCAGGGGGCGCCACAGACCAUGAAGGCACCGUGCAGCUGGGAUUGUUUGUGGUCGGCUACUGGGUCCCUGACUUAACCAGGGGAGCCAAGACCCUGUAGCCAAGUGGCCUGGAUUCAACCUGCAGCUCAGGUCUUACUGACACUUCUCCCCCUGGUGCCUCAGUUUCUUAAUCUGUGAAAUGGUGAGGACAUUACAGCAUUUACCUCUGGGGCGGGUUUCUCAACAGCAGCACUAUUAACAAUUUGGGACAGAGAAUCUUGUGGAGUGGUCUGUCCUGUGCAUUGUGGGAGGUUUGCCAGCAACACCCCACUCACCCCCUCCCACCAAUCCCCAUGUGACAACCGAAAAUGUCCCAGGAUUUUUAGGUCUCCCUUGGGUCUAGAAGCUGCACUUAGGCAUUUUCCCACCUGACACUUGAGUUCAUCUCUGCUUUGGUCCACAUAAGGCCACUUUAAAAAAAUGUUGUUUCUUUAAAGAUUCUAACCAUCUUUUAAACAAAUCCAUUUUCUUCCUCUAUUUCUGCAUUCAGUUAAUCCUUCCAAACCCUUUGUUUAGUAUAUCUUGAAAUGUAUCAAUUCCUGUUCUAGUAAUUAACAUAUGUGACUUGCAUGAUAUCUGCUAUGACCCUUAGUAGAGCUCUGAUUCCUUUAGCACAGGGAAUGUGUUCUCGAUUCUGCUCUGGAUGAUGUAAAUCAAUUUAUUUUACUUUACUUGUCUGGGAUGUUGCUCCUCAUCUGUAAGAUGUAAAUGUGGAUAUGGCUUGGAUUACUAAGUGGUUUUAUUUCUUAAUUCACCUGACAUUUGUUGUGUGCCUGCUGCAAGUCAAAUACAUGGCAUGGUAUUGUUUCCUUGUUCACACCACAGCAAAUGAGAAAAUGAGACAUUAUAGCCAGGUGUGGCGGCACAGGCUUGUGGUCCUAGCUACUCGGAAGGCUGAGGCAGGAGAAUUGCUCCAGCCCAGGAGUUUGAGGUUACAGUAAGGUAUGAUAUCACCAUUGCAUUUCAACCUGGGCAACAGACCCUGUCUCUGAAAAAAGGGAAAAAGACCUUGUGAGCUGUCUACGUGUACUCUAUGUCUCAGGAGACUCAUAUCCUGUAAUUUUUCUAAAUGGCGUCUCCAUGUGGUCUUUCAUGAAUGUUUGUCUGGUAUUCUCUAUCCUUUUACUUUCAACUUUUCUUUACCUUCUACUGAAAUUAUGUCUUUUGUAAACAGCCCAUGAUUAUUUAUUUAGUUAUUUAUUUUUACCCCCCUGCACUAUUUGUCUUGUAAUUGGAGUGUCUGAGUCCAUUAUGUUUAAUGUAAUUAUUGACCUCAUUGGGUUUAAGUCUGUCCAUUGUCAUUUGCUGCCUUCUAAUAUUAUCUCUUUCUUGCUCAACUAUUUUUCUUAUGUUACCUUCUUUAGAUGAAUAAAAACCUUUGCAUUAUUGUAGUCUUCUAAGUGUCCUAAUUACACAUUCUCUUAUUAUUUCUUUAAUUAUCUGAGAAAGCAUAAUGAUCUGUGACUUAUUAUAACCAAUAGCAGACCACAACUUCCCUGACUUUCACCUACCUGUGCCCACAGCCCAGGGGAGA
rnacentral:lncRNA from 1 species